rnacentral:sRNA from 1 species
CACAGGCGAGGAAGCCCAAAGGACCAGUGACUCAGGAUGAGGGUCAGGAGCGCCAGGAGGCGAAGACGCAGGAUGGUCAGGAAGACAGACGUCAGGAGACGUUUUACACGGAAAGGGAACUGCAACAAGGAGUGUUCCAGCUAAGGGAAAAACAGGGUUAGUUGUAAGCAAACAUGGAAUGUGGUGCCCCUUGAGGGUGUGAGUCAGGAAAAAAGGCGACAGAGUAAUCUGUCGCCUUUUUUCUUUGCUUACUU